rnacentral:rRNA from 1 species
UACGUAGGGGGCAAGCGUUGUCCGGAUUUAUUGGGCGUAAAGAGCGUGUAGGCGGUCUGGUAGGUCCGUUGUGAAAACUCGAGGCUCAACCUCGAGACGCCGAUGGAAACCAUCAGACUAGAGUCCGGAAGAGGAGAGUGGAAUUCCUGGUGUAGCGGUGAAAUGCGCAGAUAUCAGGAAGAACAGCCCGUGGCUAAGGCGGCUCUCUAGUACGGUACUGACGCUGAGACGCGAAAGCGUGGGGAGCGAACAGG